rnacentral:rRNA from 1 species
UGGGGGAUAUUGCACAAUGGGCGAAAGCCUGAUGCAGCGACGCCGCGUGGGGGAUGAAGGCCUUCGGGUUGUAAACUUCUUUUGCUCUGAACAAGGCAUGCUAAUGGGUGUGUUGAGUGUGGGGGUUGAUUAGCGCCGGCUAACUACGUGCCAGCAGCCGCGGUAAUACGUAGGGCGCGAGCGUUGUCAGGAAUUAUUGGGCGUAAAGGGCUUGUAGGUGGCUGGUUGCGUCUGUCGUGAAAGCUCAUGGCUUAACUGUGGGUUUGCGGUGGGUACGGGCUGGCUUGAGUGCAGUAGGGGAGGCUGGAAUUCCUGGUGUAGCGGUGGAAUGCGCAGAUAUCAGGAGGAAUACCGGUGGCGAAGGCGGGUCUCUGGGCUGUUACUGACACUGAGGAGCGAAAGCAUGGGGAGCGAACAGG